CUUCUCUGUGCACCCUCAGAGCGAGUGGAGGCCCUGCAGCUGAACCUGACCCAGGCUGCCCAUCAGACCCAGACGUGUUUCAGCCUGAAGGCGGCGGCUGACAGCCAGAUGUUGGCGGCUCAGAGUCAGACCAAAGGCUGCGAGUCCAGGGAGCAGUACCUGGAGAAACAGCUUCAGAAGUGUAAAGCUGCUGAAUCAGCAGCUCCUCAGGAGAAAAACCAAGCCAGCUCCUCUGAGUCAGCGCCUCCCAAAGAUGCUGCAGCUCCGCUCGCUGGCAUCCCUGCGCUGACGCUACUCCUUAGUGCCGCUCUGCAUCUGCUAACCUGAGUCCAGUGUGGAGGCGGGUCAAGUUACAGCAAGCCCGGCGGUCCCGGAGGAGGCGGAGCCUGGACCAACACCACUGCUGUACGAACUUCCUGUCUCCGCCACGGAGACGCCGUCGCACCACGGACGCUCGGAUACAGACUUCUACGUUUUCGCUUUCAGCUUCACGUCUGCAACGCUUCAUGCUGGACUCUCAGAGCUUCACGGCGCCCGUGUUCGGAUCGAAGCGUCAGAACCUGCCAGAAUCUUUUCACGCCAGCAUUUAUUUGUCCUGUUAUGGCUUCGGUCAGGCUGAGAGAGACUGCGACUGGAUUUAUCCUGCUGCCAGCUAUGUUUCCACUGAAUCUUCCUGUGUUCUGUUUUGAUGCCGCAACCAUUACUGCUUAAAAACGUUUUUUUUUGUCCCUGCAGGAAACUCUAGUCUGGACUUUUAGAUGUUACCAAAUUAGGGCUGGACGAUAAUUCAAUAACAAUAUAUAUCGAUCGAUAGA